CUUUAUAAAACUAAAAUGGUGUACUCCCAAAAUCAAUUUAAUUCCAGUAAGAAUCUUUUCCCAUCUUUGAAAAUUGCGUCAAUGGCUCAUUCAAAAUUUCCUAAAGAAUUCUCAAACUUGUCUUGGGAAAGUUUUUGCAGGUAAGAUGAUGAGUUAUAAAGAGCAGAAAGAGUUCUCCAUUGUGGCUGCAGUUUUGGCUUGGGUGUCAAUGGUUUGGAUUUGUGUUAUAAUUCCUGCUUUCUUGGCUUUGGCUUUAGUAAUUGAAAGAUUCCAGAGAAGAGUUGAGGCUGCUGAAAUGCAAGAAAAUCAGUAUGUGUAGUCCUGGAAUUAAGUCCUAUAGCAUCCAUUAUGUUACUGGUUUCAUCAUAUCCACAAUAAUUUUUAACUUUGAAUCAAAAUAAUACAAAAUUAAUACCACAUUUCUUGGCCUA